rnacentral:lncRNA from 1 species
AGGGCGGGGCGUGUAGAUGUGGGGGGUGAGGGAGGGAGGUUGUACAGAGGAAGUUUUCCUUCAGUUUCUCUCCAGCAGUCAGAGGAACAGCAGAGAUGAAGUUUUUUUCCCUGCUGCUGCCGAUCGCCUUCAGCUGCUGCUGCUCUGCUACAGGUGAUCACCAUGACAACCCGGCUGCUGCCAUGACGAUGGCCGCCGCCCCCGGCGCCGGGCUGGUGGAGAAUCAGCAGCCGGCGUUGCCAUGGACGAAGGAAGUCGUGGAUCUGCUGAAUCAGCUGCUCCUUGUCCAGAAGGAGGUCGCCAAGAGCCAGGGCCAGGUCGUCCAACUGCUCGGCAUGCUGGGAACUCAGGGCUCCCAGCAGAUCCGGGACCUGCAGAAUGUGGCCCGUCACCAGAGCCUGCUGGUGGAGAACCAUCAGGCGUUGCUGCUGCAGACGUCCCGCAUCGCCACCGCACUGCAGGAAAUCACCAAGAAACCUGUGGCCCCCCCUCUCACUGCUCCCGGCCAAUAAGAUGCGUUUGUUCUGAACCAGCCAAUACGGUUGAUUUGUUCUUAUUCAGUUGGACAAACCUUCAGAUUUUGAGUCUGUUGUGAGCCACUAACCUGUUAAUCAAAAAUGACUUCCAUAAUCAAACUUCAAAAUAUUUAAAAAAACUUAAUAUUUGUUUUACUUAGAAUCUGAGAAAUGUUUAAAUAAAAACAUGUUUCAUGAAAUCAACAGUAGAAGUAAACAAACAAACAGCUUGAUUUUGACCUCAUUCACAGAAAAACAUUUUCGUUGCUAACAUCCUUUUUUGUAAUUCCAGUUUUCGUAUUGUUGUUCUCUGGUAUUAAAUAAAGUCUUGUUACAUCAUCCAUUCAGUGGUAGUGUGUUUGUGUAUUAGGCCUGUACUAAAGAGUUCAAAGCUUCAU